rnacentral:sRNA from 1 species
UUGCACUGCGUACAUUGCGGUUGCUGCGCGCCGUCCACACCACCUGACGACUGCUCGCCAGGGGUGUUAGCC